rnacentral:misc_RNA from 1 species
GCCGAGACUCGUGCCAACAUUCAUUCGGGGUGUGUGUAUAAAAGCAACCAUUUUUUUCCCCAUUUCCUACAUCUGCUCUCCUAACUACAACUAAAUUCCGAUAUCGUUUCUCAUAUAUUUUACACAUUUCAGCUGCUCUUCUGAGUGUUUGAUUCUCCUAAGCAUGGACCAGAGGUUGAGGGAUGCAGCUCAAGCAGGAGAUAUUAAUGGCUUGUAUCGUCUAAUCCAGGAAGAUGCAACUGCUUUUGAGGCGGUCCAGCAAGUAGGAGAUAUUCGUCAGAGGUUGAGGGAGGCCGCUCAAGCAAGAGAUAAUGACGGCUUCUAUAAUCUAAUCCGAGAAAAUGCGAAUGUUUUGGAGGCGGCUCAAUUACGAGAUAUUGGUCAGAGGUUGAGGCAGGCCGCGGAAGCAGGAGAUAUUGACGCCUUGUAUGCUCUAAUCGGUGAAGAUGCUCGUGUUUUGGAACGUAUUGAUGAGGUGCCUUUUGUUGACACACCAUUACACAUAGCUGCAUCUGCAGGACAUAUUGAUUUUGCCAUGGAGAUAGUGAACUUGAAGGCAUCGUUUACCGGGAAGCUAAACCCAGAAGGUUUUAGCCCCAUGCACCUUGCUUUGCGGAACGAGCACAUGCUAAUGGUGAUGUGGCUCAUAGAUGUUGACGGAAACCUUGUCCGUGUCAAAGGAAAAGGGGGUUUCACUCCUUUGCAUCAUGCAGCUGAAAAUGGAAACUUGUCUAUUUUGAGAGAAUUUUAUAAAGGUUGCCCCGAAUCUAUCAAAGAUGUUACCUUCCAAGGCGACACUGCUUUACACAUUGCAGUAAAGAAACACCAAAAGGAUGCUUUUGAAUUUUUGUUGAUGGAAUGGCUUAGGCAGUCUGAAUUCGAAGAUGCAGAUUUUUGGGAAGGAGAGCUCCUCAACUGGAAAAACAAGGAAGGUAAAACCGUUCUGCACAUUGCUGCUUCGGAUAGAUGGGAAGAUCGACAUGAGGUGUGCCUAGCUUCCAACCAAAAUUUACUACUCACAUUGGGUUUGAGUUUUCCAUAUAUAAAAAUAUAAAAUCUCUUUUGUAUAUUUUGUUAGUGAAUUAAUUAAUUAAUUCUUCUUGACUUGCUAAAGAUAUUUUGGGGAAAAGGAGAUUUUAUUGAUAGAUAGAGUGUAUUGAACAGAAGCUGAUAUAACAUUACAUCGAGCGCAAAUAUCCAACCCAAGAAUUAAUUAUGUUAUUGCAUAUCUUUGACCAAAUAGCAAUGUCUAUGUAGGUACUGGAAAUGUUGCUGGGAUGUCAUGCUAGAACUGAUAUAAAAGAUCUUGCUGGUUUGACGGCUAUGGAAAUCCUGAGAGACCAAGUUCGAUUAACGGAAAGACAAAUUUGGAAUAUGCAAGCAGCCGGUGCAGGAUUUUUGUUUCCAUUAAUAUUAUUUUAUAAAAGAGUGAUAUCUCUUGCACAUUCAGUCCGUCAGGAAGCUCAGACACCGAGAUCAAGGCCUUUGGAGUGGAAAUUAUGGCGGAAGAGGAAAUGGAAAUCCAGUGAGAAGCGCAAUAUAGAGCUGGUAGUUGAUACACUGGUUGCAACAGCCGUCUUCCAGGCAUCACUGAGUCCACCUGGUGGACUUUGGCAGGGUACUGCUAAUGCUGAUAUUAAUUCGCCUAUGCGCGUCAAUAACUCUUCAACUACUUCUGCAGCAACUUCUACACACUUCACGGGUACAUCAGUAAUGUCUAGGACCGACUUUCAUAUAUUUUUCUUUGCAAACUUGGUCUUGCUCGCCGUAACAGCUUGUCGAAUGACCGCACAUCUUAUGCAUGACGACGGCGGACCAUCAUUUAGUCUUUUAUCUGUUAAUUGGGUGAUUUUUUCUUACUUGUUUUCAUUGACAAUCAUAACACCGAAUAAGGAAAAGAUGGACUCUAGCAUCUUUAGGAUUACUCUUUAUAUAUUUGCUGUAUAUUCCCUUAUUGCAUUAUUCGCAGUAUAUUUUGUUAAGUACAUAUCAGUACCUAGCGAGCCUAGAGUAAAACCAAGAAGACGUCGCGUGAAAAUUCGUGACAGGAAAGAAUGGUGGUAAUGCAUAAAUAGACGUCACCUCUCGUUGUUGACGUUCUUCUUUCAAUACUAGCUUAGUUAACUAGCUUUGCCCGUGAAUGUCUGCAUGGAGAAAUUAUUUUAUGUAAUGGUUACUUUUUUGUAUGUAUUGCCAUAUAUAUUGGCGAAUUAUAUUUAAAAUUACAAGUUAUUUUUGUAUAUUAUAAGGAUAGAGAUUU